rnacentral:rRNA from 1 species
AACGAACGCUGGCGGCAUGCCUAACACAUGCAAGUCGAACGAGACCUUCGGGUCUAGUGGCGCACGGGUGCGUAACGCGUGGGAAUCUGCUCUUGGGUUCGGAAUAACUCCUCGAAAUGGGUGCUAAUACCGGAUGAUGUCGUAAGACCAAAGAUUUAUCGCCCAAGGAUGAGCCCGCGUAGGAUUAGCUAGUUGGUGGGGCAAAGGCCUACCAAGGCGACGAUCCUUAGCUGGUCUGAGAGGAUGAUCAGCCACACUGGGACUGAGACACGGCCCAGGCUCCUACGGGAGGCAGCAGUGGGGAAUAUUGGACAAUGGGCGAAAGCCUGAUCCAGCAAUGCCGCGUGAGUGAUGAAGGCCCUAGGGUUGUAAAGCUCUUUUACCCGGGAUGAUAAUGACAGUACCGGGAGAAUAAGCCCCGGCUAACUCCGUGCCAGCCGCCGCAGUAACAC